rnacentral:lncRNA from 1 species
AAUGUUCGAAAAAGCUAAAAUCGGUACGAGGCGUUUUUCUCUAGGCUAUGCGAGGCGUAAGCCUUGAGGCGGAGCGAGGCGGAAGCCUUGAGGCGGAGCGAGGCGGAAGCCUUGAUUUAAAGACACAAGUCCCCAAAAAAUUAUGAAAAAAUACUAAUAAAAUCAUAAAAUAAUUCAUCAUUACAAUUAAGGUCAUAGAAGACAUAAAUAACCAACGUCAUAGUAAUGUAUCAUUACAAAACAUCAAAACAACAUAAUAUCAUCAAGUACUUAUAUAGUGAUCAUCCA